rnacentral:lncRNA from 1 species
AAGUUACACAGAAACCCAAGCCACCUGGACUGGAGUAAGGACUAUAACCCAUUGGUUCUGCUCAGUAUUGUCUUCUGGUCACCCCACAUAAGAAACAUCUAGAAGCUUCUAUCUCCUGGUUAUUCUAACCUUACAGCUGAAGCCUCAGACAGUGGAGCAGAGGCAAUGUCUGGUUACACCCAUCCAACUUCCUGACGCAGAGAAACAGCAUGCAUAAAAGAAGCAGCGGCUGUCUUAUACAACCACUGAUGCCUUUGCUAUUCAGCCACUGUAGCCACAGGUAACCAAAGUACCGUUCUACCAGCUAAGGUCUCCAGCUUGGUACUAUAACAGUAACCCACACCAGUCUCACUGGAGCCUCAAGAGGUCAAUGAAUAACUGAAGGUCCAGAUGCCACCUGCUAGUCAGGGGGUCCUGUGUCUCUGUUUCCAUUUUUUCCUUCCAAAAAGCAAGAGUACGAAUCUCCACAGCAAUAACACCUUCAAAAGACUAUUGUGGGAACAACGGGAGCAUGUGGCUUGCUAAGCCCUGCAUGAACACUCAUUUGUACUGUCAGCACAGUGAAAGGAGCCCCUUCCAAAUGCUUUCAUGAAGAACAUGAGCUAUUUAUGAAGAAGGGAGUGAGUUACACAAACACACACACACACACACACACACACACACACACACACACACAGAGUUACCUCUUCCUGAAGACAAAGGAUUCAUCUGGAACAAAAGUCUAAAGUUGCAAGAAGAACUGAAACAUAUCAAUCUGGUUGGCUUCCCCCCACCCUUCUCUCUCCUUUUAAACACACUCCUUUACCAAAGUUAUAAAAUUGCACACAAUAGCUUCCAAAGAUCUAAUCAUCGGAUUUCUUCUUAAGAUUUCUAGGUUAAAAAUAGCUUAAAUAUACUUCUCCUGUCAGUCAAAUCACAGGGUAGAAGAUACUGUAUACCAUUCUAAAUAUAAGUUGAGGAUAUAGCUUUCCCCAAAGAAAAAUACUCCAAGAUAAUGAUUUUUUAUUUCUUGGAGACCCUGGCAAGCUGCGUCAUGGGGCCAGCAGUUGCUGGCUUCUAGAUGCCAGGACCAAAGCCAUGCAGCUCUCUGUGAGGAGAGCAAGAAGGAGGACAAGCAGGAAGUGAGGUUCUAUUUUACUCUCUUGAGGUCAGAUGGCAGCAAUGGUGACCUCUUUUGUCCUUUCUGAUGUCUCUUACGCUGAUCCCUUCUUCCCUUCUUCGCUCAUUAAACUUCUCUCUGGGUGCCUGGCCACACCUCCACCUGGACUUGCACAGGAGUCAUCUGAGGCCAUUCUGGCCCUGUAGACCUGAGAUGGUACCAGUUGAAGGAAAAUUGGAGAAAAUGCAGGGGUUAGUGCCUAUGGGACAAGAAGGUAUGAGAAGCCAGACUUGGUACUGAGAUUCCUUUAGCACUGUGUAGCAAGAAUGUAGCAGACAUGAUCGAAAGGGUGACAGGAGAUCGGCACAUAGACAGGUCCAGAUGUGCUUGGGGUAAGCAUCCCAAGAACAGUUGUGGAAAAUAUCCUGGUGCUAGAACAGCAGCCAAGGAGAUCAGAGGACUACUCACAACAGCCGUAGAGUAAUCAAUGGAAAGAGGCAGAAGCCUGCGGGGUUCUUCCACAGUGGAAUCUACACACUUGUUACAUUGAUGGAUUGGGGAAGAGAGGCAGGUUCUAUAAUGGUAAUAAGGAAAGCCUUGUAUACACCCCUAGUUUUGAAACUUCACAAAUAGUGUCUGCGGCCCUCUGUGAGAUUAAGGAACCGGAGGCUGAUGAGUGAGUUUGUUGGAAAAUGCCUGGCACCUUUCUUAUAGAUUCCAUCACCUGGCCUCCUUCAAAUGCGCCUGGACACAAGAGACAGGGAACAAGACAAGAGAGGCUCUGGGUAAGGGUAUCUUUUACAGAAAGAAAGGCCACACCAGUGGAAGACCUCUGUCCCUGGAAUAGAUGUCAGUCAGAGGACAAUCUCUUGCUCCUCAGGCCUGUUAUCUUAUUUUGGAGAGGGUCUUUCAUUGACCUGGAACUCAAUAAGCAAGAGAGGGAUGUGUCUCCCCAGAGCUGGGAUUACAAUAUGCAGCCACAGGAAUUACUCUGUUUGUUUGUUCCUUGGCUUCAUUAUGGGUUUUCACAUAGGUUCUGGGAACCAAACACACGCAUUUGUAGUUACAAGGCAUGUGCUUCCCCAACUUAGCUAUCUCACCAGCACCCAGUGUCUAUUCUUGUGUCUGUAUCUCUGUGGACAUCUGGGGUGGGGGCUCAAUAGGCAUCCUAGGAGAAGAGAAAAAGUCAUCCUUCUGAUGGAGAUGGGAGAAAGAAGACAGAGAGGAAAAAGGCUUUCUAGGGAAAGCACAGAGGUACCACAUAAUGAAAUUCCAAACCAGUGUAGUGAGAGCUACAGGAUGGAGCAUGGCUCUGGGAAGAAAGACUAGGAUGCUGUCAAGUUGGAAGGAAGAUGGGUAUGCGAAGUGGAGGGAAAAAACAGAAGAGGGUGUCUUGCUCUGUCACUGGGGGUGCUCUGCAAGCAACAUUCAGAGACUCGCCUGCCCGAGAAACAAGAAUGAAGGAGUGAGUACUUAAGGAAGUCUGCGGAGGAGAAGGGCAGGAAGGGAAUGCUCAGGCCCGGGCAGAAGAAGCAGUGUUUUCUGAGGGCCCUUCCUUCCUCAGCUCCCAAUUGCAGGAAGAACCAGGCUGGGAGCUGGGAUUUUCUGAAGCACCCUUCUUCGCUGCAUCGAAACCCACUAGCUGCUUCAGCAACAGCCACCAGGGCUUAUCAAGCAGGAAGCACAAGCUGAAAUUCUGCCCAAGGGCCUCCUCCAGUGUAAAUUGUAGCUGGGAUGGUAGCUUCAAGGACCUCUAGUCUUCCACUCUGAUGAGCUUCAAAGCUGGGUAUGCGGAUGAAGAAGCUACAGCAACAUCCGUCCCUCCCCGUAGCAAAGCACUCGCAAGGAAGCUUCAGCCGCCUCGCCCCAGCUUUAAUGCAGUAUAGACAAUAGACAGUUUUAAACGGUCAGAUUUUGAAGUUUGAUAAAUAACCAAUCUCUGUAGAGAUAAAUGACAUUAGGGUCUUGGGCAAAAUCAGGAAAUCAGGUGGGUGCGAAGUCUUGGCUCCACCCACCUCCAGCGCUGCUCGCAGUGUUGUAUAAAGGGUUGUUUAUGGAGGUGUGUGUGGUGCUUCUAGAAGAAAUGUCUGAGCCAUGAUGGGCGUUACAAAAGCACAGAAGAAGAGAUGGGGUGUCUUCUGGAUAAGCGACUCCUCAGAGUCCCCCAAAAUAACUAGCUACGUGAAAAGCAACACACACAUUGAAGCCACCCAAGAGAAAUUGUUCUGCAGCAAAACCAGAUUUAUCUUUGGCCAUGUUAGAAAGUUGGCAAGGUGGCCACAGUUCCCUGUCAUCCUUCUGGCCCCACCCAGUGCAGCCUUUAUUGUUCAAGGAAAGAAACUGAUCUCAUACAAAGCAGGGGACUGCCAGGCUGCAGUGCCCAGGGGAGCCACUUAGUCCAAUGAGUUGCUCCCUGUUUAUGGCUGUAGUAGACAUGGAUGGAGACUUGUGAGCAGGUCGGACUUGUUGACAGCCAACUGGCCCACGUAGGCCUCCUCUAACCAUGACAUCAGUACUCUCUGCCAUACCUCAUCUCAUUUCCCUGCCUUGACUUCCCCCUCCUUCCAGCAUCCUCAUCUAAUCACAUGAUCCUAUUGGAUCAUUUGUGCAUAUUUACACUCAAGAGUUCAAAUGGACUGUGUGCAGGCCCAUAUGGCUACCUUACAGUAGGUGAAAUGUCUUAUGCCUACUUCGUCCAAUUUGGUUUUUCUAGUAUUUUCUCAUUACCAAUCAUCCUUCUUUUAAAGAGAAUUUAACUAACUUUACUAACUUUAUGCCUACCUUGUGCAUACCACAGUGACUACCUCCUCAGGUUAUUGGGACAAUUAAAAUGAUCAGGUAUACACACUAGGUACUGGGCUGAUAAGGGCUAUAUGAGCAAACAUGGGGACAUCCCCAACCCAUCCUCCUGACUGAGCCCACCCUCCACCCCUAGGAAACUUGUGCUCCCGUCUCAGUGCAUGCUCCCAGAAGCCUUAGCUUCAAACCCAAGCCUUUAGGACAAGGCCUGCUCCUACCCAAAAUGCUCUGCUACCAGACUCGGGACUGCAAAAGAGAGGAUCAUCCUGACCCCCAGCUCAUUAGAUGUGGCAUCUGAGGUCCCUGGGCUCUCUGAGUCUCCAGAAAAGAGUUUCCAGCAUCGACUCCCUAACUCAAUAGAACAAAGUCAACAGCUUUGGAAACAACUUUCUUCCUCCAUUUAAAAAUAAGAUCAUGAAAAGUCCCCCGGAAAAAAAAAUCAAUGCCGGCUUUUUUAAAACUCCAAAUC